AUUGAACGCUGGCGGCAUGCCUUACACAUGCCAGUCGAACGGCAGCACGGGUGCUUGCACCUGGUGGCGAGUGGCGAACGGGUGAGUAAUACAUCGGAACAUGUCCUGUAGUGGGGGAUAGCCCGGCGAAAGCCGGAUUAAUACCGCAUACGAUCUACGGAUGAAAGCGGGGGACCUUCGGGCCUCGCGCUAUAGGGUUGGCCGAUGGCUGAUUAGCUAGUUGGUGGGGUAAAGGCCUACCAAGGCGACGAUCAGUAGCUGGUCUGAGAGGACGACCAGCCACACUGGGACUGAGACACGGCCCAGACUCCUACGGGAGGCAGCAGUGGGGAAUUUUGGACAAUGGGCGAAAGCCUGAUCCAGCAAUGCCGCGUGUGUGAAGAAGGCCUUCGGGUUGUAAAGCACUUUUGUCCGGAAAGAAAUCCUUGGCCCUAAUACGGUCGGGGGAUGACGGUACCGGAAGAAUAAGCACCAGCUAACUACGUG
rnacentral:rRNA from 1 species